CAAUCCUAAUGCUAUAUUAAUCAAGGUAUGCAGAUUGGAUAGUAAAAUCUAUAAGGCGUGCGAAUUGAGUGCUAUAUUCUCUAAAUUCUCGUCGUCUUCCUGUCUCACGCGGAGGCAGCGAUAUUCCCCUUCUCCCACGACUUUCUUCGUCUUCUUCGUCUCUCUCCCCUUCUCCCACGGCUUGCUGCUGCUGCCCAUAUCAGCAGGACCCCAUCUCCGGCGACAUCCCUCCCCAGGCGGCAGGCGGCGGUGUGUGCUGAUCAGCUGAUGCCCCCACGUCGGCGGCAUCCUGGCGGUCGGCUCCCAUGGCGGCGGCGUCCUAUCCUGUCGGGCAGCGUGCUGACAACAGAAACACUUAUAGGAUUUGGCGCUGAAAAUUGUUUAUGCCCUUUGAACAACAAAGCAUGUUCAUUAUAUUGAUAAACAAAAAUUUCUGCUAUCAGAUGUGCUGCAAAAAUCGAGAUGUUGAGGUUAUAUAAUUUAGUGCUGAAAAGUUAAUGUUCUAUUUCAGUUGCCUGCAAUGUUUUUAUCUGGACAGAUGCUGGUGCUCAGUCCAUUGCUUGCCUUGAUGUUGGAUCAAUUGAGGAAGCUCCCUGCAUUUGUGCAAGAUGGCCUUUUUGCGAGCAGUCAGCCGCAUUCUGCAUCGCACCAUUGGAUUGGAUGCUUUCUGCACGCAGCAUAGGAGUCCAUAUGCUUCCAGACAACUUGCUAUCACGCAUCCAGGGUGAAUUGUGUGGGGCUGUGGGCAAAUUCAGUACAUAACCUGCUCGUGGCAAAUUGAGGACUAAGAUUUUGAUUUUGAGCACCAUCGGUGCCUUUUUGGUGUGGGCUAUCAAGACCAUCGACAGCUUCCUCCCUUGUCCCCACCGGCCAUCCGCUUUGCAACGUGAUAGAUAUUUUCCUUGUAUUAUGACGUUCAUGAAUAAUGUAGUCAUGCCAUAUGAAGCAGUUGUGUAGUAUGUGACCUUUUUGGCGGUUGAUUGAAAAGUAAACUGAUUGGAUCUGGGUGACUGAAUAAAGUGCUUUAGUAUUCAGCUUGA